GGCCACAUAGAGAGCAGCAUGGGAGAGAGUGAGAAACCACGAGUCACACAGAUGACAGACAAGCAGUAAGACGGCAAGUAACAUGGUUGGAAAAAAAAAAGUCAAACCGUUUGGAGAAUAAGGCUUUUAGUGACCAAGGAGACAAAGACACAGCUCAUGAAAACAAGCUAGACGUCUGGCCCCAUGGAAGGGUGUGAAGCUCUCACCUCUUGCUGAAUUGUAGCGCCGAAGUGUUUGGUUGGUCUGACAAAGGGGUCUCUCCCUGCAUGGAUGGGUUACACAAACAAUGUGAGAUGAGGUAAACAUAGUGAGGGCCUAUAGGUCAUCAAUCAUGUUUACAUGGGAUGAAGGUGUAACAAUUCAUCAGCGCUGGUUUCAUAAGACAGGACAAAGUAGCUGAUGGUGAAAAUGACUAAGUUGUGAUUGUUAUCACGUAAACACAGACUAAGUUGUGGCUGUAAGCUUAAGAUUAAAAUAAUAUAUGACAUGUUCAGCACUGUACUGCAACAGGAAAUUGCUUUAAGACCUGCAGGUGUGUUUAAAUAAACUAGAUAACUAAAACAAAGUGAAAACAGAAGAGAAAUAAUAAGACAAAUAGUCAUGCCAGUUGACAUGCCAAUUUCUUCCAAAUGAAAAGCAGGAGGAGGAUCUGAUGACUUCCUGUCCUGUCUCAUACAUAUCAACAUUUAAGCAACAUUUAAGCAUCACCAAACCAGAUAAACAUCCAUUCAAAAAGGG